rnacentral:rRNA from 1 species
AAGACUGACCAGCCAUGCCGCGUGCAGGAUGACGGCCCUCUGGGUUGUAAACUGCUUUUAUCUGGGAAGAAAAAGUCCAUGCGUGGAAAAUUGCCGGUACCAGAUGAAUAAGCACCGGCUAACUCCGUGCCAGCAGCCGCGGUAAUACGGAGGGUGCAAGCGUUGUCCGGAUUUAUUGGGUUUAAAGGGUGCGUAGGCGGCUGAAUAAGUCAGCGGUGAAAGACUUCGGCUUAACCGGAGCAGUGCCGUUGAUACUGUUUAGCUUGAGUGUUGGAGGGGUACAUGGAAUUGAUGGUGUAGCGGUGAAAUGCAUAGAUACCAUCAGGAACACCGAUAGCGAAGGCAUUGUACUGGCCAACAACUGACGCUGAGGCACGAAAGUGUGGGGAUCGAACAGGAUUAGAUACCCUGGUAGUCCACACUGUAAACGAUGAUUACUCGCUGUUAUGGUGAAUGCUGUAGCGGCCAAGCGAAAGCGUUAAGUAAUCCACCUGGGGAGUACGCCGGCAACGGUGAAACUCAAAGGGAAUUGACGGA